GGCAGCUUCUUCCUUCUAUGUACCACUGAUAGCUGUAAAGAGAUCUUCUCUAUAACAGGCCUGGUGGGUGAGUGGACGGGAUUCUUCGGCUUGACAGUUUACCCUGUCAUGAAUUAUACAGAUUUCCAGUGUUUGUCAUUAGAGUUGUCCCGAGAAGGCAUCUCCAUCGUUCUGAGGAAAAAGACCCAGGACCCUGAAAACCCCCAAUAAAAUCUAAGGUUAAGAACCAGGGG